ACGACUCUCGGCAACGGAUAUCUCGGCUCUCGCAUCGAUGAGAACGCAGCGAAAUGCGAUACUUGGUGUGAAUUGCAGAAUCCCGCGAACCAUCGAGUCUUUGAACGCAAGUUGCGCCCAAAGCCUUCCGGCCGAGGGCACGUCUGCCUGGGUGUCACGCAACAA
rnacentral:rRNA from 1 species